AACGAACGCUGGCGGCAGGCUUAACACAUGCAAGUCGAGCGCCCCGCAAGGGGAGCGGCAGACGGGUGAGUAACGCGUGGGAAUCUACCCAUCCCUACGGAACAACUCCGGGAAACUGGAGCUAAUACCGUAUACGCCCUUUGGGGGAAAGAUUUAUCGGGGAUGGAUGAGCCCGCGUUGGAUUAGCUAGUUGGUGGGGUAAUGGCCUACCAAGGCGACGAUCCAUAGCUGGUCUGAGAGGAUGAUCAGCCACACUGGGACUGAGACACGGCCCAGACUCCUACGGGAGGCAGCAGUGGGGAAUAUUGGACAAUGGGCGCAAGCCUGAUCCAGCCAUGCCGCGUGAGUGAUGAAGGCCCUAGGGUUGUAAGGCUCUUUCACCGGUGAAGAUAAUGACGGUAACCGGAGAAGAAGCCCCGGCUAACUUCGUGCCAGCCGCCGCCGUAAUAC
rnacentral:rRNA from 1 species